rnacentral:rRNA from 1 species
ACUGUUUGAUGAUGGCUCAGAAUGAACGCUGGCGGCGUGCUUAACACAUGCAAGUCGAACGAUGAAACCUAGCCUGCUAGGUGGAUUAGUGGCGCACGGGUGAGUAAUAUAUAGAUAAUGUACCUCUUAGUCUGGGAUAGCCAUUGGAAACGAUGAUUAAUACUAGAUACUCCUUCUUCUUCUAAUUGAAGUUGGGAAAGUUUUUCGCUAAGAGAUCAGUCUAUAUCCCAUCAGUUAGUUGGUAGGGUAAUGGCCUACCAAGGCAAUGACGGGUAGCGGGUUUGAGAGGAUGAUCCGCCACACUGGUACUGAGACACGGACCAGACUCCUACGGGAGGCAGCAGUGAGGAAUAUUGCACAAUGGAGGAAACUCUGAUGCAGCAACGCCGCGUGGAGGAUGACGCAUUUCGGUGUGUAAACUCCUUUUAUAUGUCAAGAAAAUGACGGUAGCAUAUGAAUAAGCACCGGCUAACUCCGUGCCAGCAGCCGCGGUAAUACGGAGGGUGCAAGCGUUAUUCGGAAUCACUGGGCGUAAAGGACGCGUAGGCGGGAAGCCAAGUCUGAUGUGAAAUCCUAUGGCUCAA